rnacentral:lncRNA from 1 species
UGGUAUUCUCAUCACACACUAACAGCUACAAUUUGACAACUUAUCAAAACAAAUAACAGAAUUUGUUUAUACUCCAAUUUAAUUUAAACUUCCAAUGGCCUCACAAAACAGGAUCUUGGUCCUUGGACCAACAGGUGCCAUAGGAAGACACGUAGUAUGGGCAAGUAUUAAAGCAGGAAAUCCAACCUAUGCUUUGAUUAGGAAAACACCUGGUGAUAUAAACAAACC